UGGGGAAUUUUGGACAAUGGGCGAAAGCCUGAUCCAGCAAUGCCGCGUGCAGGAUGAAGGCCUUCGGGUUGUAAACUGCUUUUGUACGGAACGAAAAAGCUUCUCCUAAUACGAGAGGCCCAUGACGGUACCGUAAGAAUAAGCACCGGCUAACUACGUGCCAGCAGCCGCGGUAAUACGUAGGGUGCGAGCGUUAAUCGGAAUUACUGGGCGUAAAGCGUGCGCAGGCGGUUAUGUAAGACAGAUGUGAAAUCCCCGGGCUCAACCUGGGAACUGCAUUUGUGGCUGCAUGGCUAGAGUACGGUAGAGGGGGAUGGAAUUCCGCGUGUAGCAGUGAAAUGCGUAGAUAUGCGGAGGAACACCGAUGGCGAAGGCAAUCCCCUGGACCUGUACUGACGCUCAUGCACGAAAGCGUGGGGAGCAAACA
rnacentral:rRNA from 1 species